AGUGAACGCUGGCGGUAGGCCUAACACAUGCAAGUCGAACGGCAGCACAGUAAGAGCUUGCUCUUACGGGUGGCGAGUGGCGGACGGGUGAGGAAUACAUCGGAAUCUACUUUUUCGUGGGGGAUAACGUAGGGAAACUUACGCUAAUACCGCAUACGACCUACGGGUGAAAGCAGGGGAUCUUCGCACCUUGCGCGAUUGAAUGAGCCGAUGUCGGAUUAGCUAGUUGGCGGGGUAAAGGCCCACCAAGGCGACGAUCCGUAGCUGGUCUGAGAGGAUGAUCAGCCACACUGGAACUGAGACACGGUCCAGAGUCCUACGGGAGGCAGCAGUGGGGAAUAGUGGACAAUGGGCGCAAGCCUGAUCCAGCCAUACCGCGUGGGUGAAGAAGGCCUUCGGGUUGCAAAGCCCGUUUGUUGGGAAAGAAAAGCAGCAGGUUAAGACCCCGCUGUUCUGACGGUACCCAAAGAAUAAGCACCGGCUAACUUCGUG
rnacentral:rRNA from 1 species